AUAGAUAUAAGAGACCUAGAUUGCUAACGCAUACUUAGCGCAGGCGGGGCCUACAUGAUAAAUCCAAGAUGGCGGUACAACAGGGUAAAAAGACUAUAGAUUCUAUUACGAAAAUCAGGAUUUUUGCAUUUUUUGCCGUCGCAUUGUUUUGAAACUUGUUCGGUCAAAUUUUAUGGUAAAGAGAAACUUACUGCGAAGAUUUUGAG
rnacentral:lncRNA from 1 species